UACGAAGGGGGCUAGCGUUGUUCGGAUUUACUGGGCGUAAAGGGCGCGUAGGCGGAUUGAUAAGUCAGGGGUGAAAUGCCAAGGCUCAACCUUGGAACGGCCUUUGAUACUGUUGAUCUCGAGUCCGGGAGAGGUGAGUGGAACUGCGAGUGUAGAGGUGAAAUUCGUAGAUAUUCGCAAGAACACCAGUGGCGAAGGCGGCUCACUGGCCCGGAACUGACGCUGAGGCGCGAAAGCGUGGGGAGCAAACAGG
rnacentral:rRNA from 1 species